UCAUCUCGCUUCAGAUGCCAGCCCACAGGUUAUCGCUCUCCUACUCCAGUCUCUCGCCAAACCCCUCCUAUAAAUACCCACCCAAAACUCCCAUUUCUCCUUGUCACCUCAAGUUCCUUCAUACGCAGUCUUCACAACCUUAGCAAGCAUCAUGAAGCCCCUCUUCACCACCUUGGCCCUUUUACUGAUCCUCUUGGCCUCUUCCUAUCUUGAAGCCACCAUAGCCGGCUCACCCUUUUGCGAUUCCAAGUGCAAGGUUAGGUGCUCCAAGGCGAGCUUUCAGGACCGCUGCCUCAAGUACUGUGGGGUGUGCUGCGAGGAGUGCCACUGCGUGCCUUCGGGGACUUAUGGCAACAAGGAUGAGUGCCCUUGUUAUAGGGACAAGUACACUGGCUUUGGCAAGAGAAGGAGGCCAAAGUGCCCUUGAGCCUCGACCGAAGGCCUGAAUAUCCUUUAUAUAUCUCCUAAAUUUCGUCCACUCUCGGCAGUGGUCGCUAGUGGGUUAUCAACUUAUCAUGUUAUGGUGUGUGUCUGUAAAAGUUGAUAUGGAGUGGGAUAUAUAAAGGAAGUGGACUUUUCAGUACCAUCUAUAUUUCAUAGUACAGAUGUGAGAGUGGUGACGGGUGUUUGGAGAAAACCAUAUAUACCUCUGUGUUUCUUAUAUUUGUUCUCUGUGAUCGCAUUGAAAGUUUUGUCAUCUUUUUCCAA